AUUGAACGCUGGCGGCAGGCCUAACACAUGCAAGUCGAACGAGUGGCGGACGGGUGAGUAAAGUCUGGGUAACUUCCCUAUGGAGGGGGGUAAAUUCUGGAAACGGUAGCUAAAACCGCAUUUCAUUGGAUUUGCCCAGAUGGGAUUAGCUAGUAGGUGGGGUAACGGCUCACCUAGGCGACGAUCCCUAGCUGGUCGGAGAGGAUGACCAGCCACACUGGAACUGAGACACGGUCCAGACUCCUACGGGAGGCAGCAGUGGGGAAUAUUGCACAAUGGGCGCAAGCCUGAUGCAGCCAUGCCGCGUGUAUGAAGAAGGCCUUCGGGUUGUAAAGUACUUUCAGCGAGGAGGCGUUACUCGCAGAAGAAGCACCGACUAACUCCGUGCCAGCAGCCGCGGUAAUUC
rnacentral:rRNA from 1 species